GACGGAGGAUGCAAGCGUUAUCCGGAAUGAUUGGGCGUAAAGCGUCCGCAGGUGGCAGUUCAAGUCUGCUGUCAAAGACCGGGGCUUAACUUCGGAAAGGCAGUGGAAACUGAACAGCUAGAGUAUGGUAGGGGCAGAGGGAAUUCCUGGUGUAGCGGUGAAAUGCGUAGAUAUCAAGAGGAACACCUGCGGCGAAGGCGGGUUGCUGGGCUGACACUGACGCUGAAGUGCGAAAGCUAGGGGAGCGAACGGG
rnacentral:rRNA from 1 species